rnacentral:rRNA from 1 species
GGCCCGCACAAGCGGUGGAGUAUGUGGUUUAAUUCGACGCAACGCGCAGAACCUUACCCAGUCUUGACAUCCCUGGACCACUAUGGAGACAUAGCUUUUCAACCUAACGGAAGAAUCAGGUGACAGGUGCUGCAUGGCUGUCGUCAGCUCGUGUCGUGAGAUGUUCGGUUAAGUCCGGUAACGAGCGCAACCCCUAUCCUUAGUUGCCAAUUAUGGAACUCUAAGGAGACUCCCGGUGUUAAACCGGCGGAAGAUGGGGAUGACGUCAAGUCCUCAUGGCCCUUAUCGGCUGGGGCUACACACGUACUACAAUGGCAACUACAAAGAGCCGCAAGACCGCGAGGUGGAGCUAAUCUCAAAAAAGUUGCCUCAGUUCGGAUUGGAGUCUGCAACUCGACUCCAUGAAGUUGGAAUC